rnacentral:rRNA from 1 species
UACGGGGGGGGGCAAGCGUUGUUCGGAAUUACUGGGCGUAAAGGGCCAGUAGGCGGCCAACUAAGUCGGAUGUGAAAUCCCCAGGCUUAACCUGGGAACUGCAUCCGAUACUGGAUGGCUUGAAUUCGGGAGAGGGAUGCAGAAUUCCAGGUGUAGCGGUGAAAUGCGUAGAUAUCAAGAGGAACACCUGCGGCGAAGGCGGGUUGCUGGGCCGACACUGACGCUGAGGCGCGAAAGCGUGGGGAGCGAACAGG